rnacentral:rRNA from 1 species
AUGGCGACCACCAUGCUGCCGUCCCCGUCUCUGCCUCCUACUCCCCGCGGCGUCUUAUCGCCGCGCUGCUCACUGCAGGCCCCGACCCACGCGCACCGGGUGCCGGACGGGGCAUCCCGGAGGCGGCAUGCCCCGGUGCAGCGCGCCCGACCCGAGGCCGCGGCGUACGCGCGGGAGAUAGGCGCCUGCGUGCGUGCGCGGCGCUGGGGCGCGGCAUGCGAGGCGUUCGCGGCCAUGCGCGCCGCCGGGGCCGCGCCGGACAGGUUCCUCCUCCCGCAGGUGCUCCGGGCCUGCGCCGGGGCGGACGCGCCCCGCCUCGCCGCCGCCGCGCACGCGCUCGCCGCCAAGGGCGGGCCCGCGCUCGCCGACGACGCCGUGGUAGGGAACGCUAUCGUCGCCAUGUACGCGGCGCUCGGGGACGUCCGCGCCGCGCGUGCAGCGUUCGAGUCGCUCCCCGAACGCGACGUCGUGGCAUGGACGGCUCUCGUGGGCGCCUACGCCAACGCCGGGGAGCUGGGCGAGGCCUUCCAGCUGUUUGAAUCGAUGCAGGCCAGUGGCGUGCGGCCUGACGUGAUUUCGUGGAACACCCUCGUCUCCGGCUUCGCGAGAAAUGGUGAUAUUGGUGCUGCGCUCGAUCUAUUUGACGAAAUGCGACUGAGGGGUGUCAAGCCACGGGUCAGUUCUUGGAACUGCAUCAUCUCUGGCUGUGUGCAGAAUGCGCGCUAUGAUGAGGCUUUGGGCAUCUUCCUGGAGAUGUGCGAGACUGAGAUGCCCGAUGCAGUCACUAUUGCUAGUAUACUCCCUGCUUGCACUGGCUUGAUGGCACUGGGCCUUGGAAAGCAGCUGCAUUCUUAUGCUGUACGUUGUGGUAUCAAAUUAAAUGUCUACAUUGGUUCUUCUUUGAUUGGCAUGUACUCCGAGUGCAGAGAGUUUGCUUAUGCCACAAGCGUGUUCGCCGCCAUUGAUGGGGAGAGGAAUGUCACUGUAUGGAAUGAGUUGAUUCAAUCAUAUAUCUGUGAUGGGAGGAUGGACAAAGCGUGUGAAGCCUUUAACUUGAUGCAGCAGGAUGGAUUGAAGCCUGACACUGUCACAUAUAACAAUUUCAUCGCUGCAUAUGCUAGAGCAGGUCAGAAAGAACUAGCAAAUGAACUGUUGUCAGGCAUGAUGAAUGUCAGCUUGAAGCCUAAUGUGGUAUCAAUGAAUGCUUUAAUAUCCGGUUUGCAUCAGUUUGGCCUCUGUGCUGAUGCACUGGAAGUUUUCAGAUACAUGCAGCUCCUAAACAGCGGAGAUGCAAAGCGUUGGACAUUUCUGGAUAAUAGCAACCCCAUCCAACCAAAUGGUACUACAGUUACUAGUGUCCUCUCACUGUUGACAGACCUCAAGUUAGAUCGUCUCGGGAAGGAAGUACACUGCUAUGCUCUAAGGAAUGGUCUGACGUCAAACAUAUUUGUUUCCAGCAAAUUGGUUGACCUUUAUGGUAAAACUGGUGAUAUGGUAUCUGCUGCUAAUGUCUUCCAGGGAAUCAGUAAUAAGAAUGUUGUCACUUGGAACAGUCUGCUAGCAGCUUACAAACAUAAUAGGAAGCCAGAAGUUGUUUUGAAACUAUUCUGUGAAAUGCUCGAGUCUAAUUUACUUCCUAACUUGGUUACAGUGCAGAUAGCGCUUUUGUCUUCUGGUAUGACGAUGGCAUCAGGGUAUGGGAGAGAACUGCAUGGUUUCAUACAGAAAAACUGGCCUGAUGGUUAUCCAGUCACUCUUGCAAGUGCGCUAAUAGAUAUGUAUGGGAAAUGUGGUAAGGUUGAGGAUGCUAGACUGGCUUUUGAGCGCAGUGUUGAAAAGGAUGUAGCAGUAUGGAAUGCAAUGAUGAGUUGCUACUUGCUUCAUAGGAUGCCUAGAGAUAUUAAAAGAUUGUUCGAAAUACUUGAACAAUCUAGAACUCGGCCAGAUCCUGUUACUUUCAUCUUACUUCUUUCAGCUUGUAAGCAAGAAGGUUCCAUGGUGGAAGCUCGGAGCUAUUUCUACAAUAUGGAAGAUUUGUAUGGCAUAAAACCAAGUUUAAAACACUACACUUGCAUGGUUGACAUCAUGGGAACAGCUGGUUUAUUGGAGGAGUCACUAGAACUUAUCCAGAAGAUGCCAGUUGAGCCGGAUGCAUGCCUAUGGUCUACUGUUCUCAAAGCUUGUAAGCUUCACUCAGAUUUGGACGUUGCGGCUAAGGCUGCAAAAGCUCUUUUCGAGCUUGAACCAAAUAAUGCUUCAAACUACAUGUUGCUUUCCAAUAUAUAUGCGAACAGCGGCUUUUGGGAUUCCACUGAAUCUGUAAGAGAUGCCAUGACAGAGCACGGAUUGCACGUUGAGAGCCAGUGUAGCUGGCUAUAUCUUGGCACAAGUGUGGAUUCGUUUGAGGCUGGAGAUUUGUCCCAUCCUGCAUUUGAGGAUAUUUUGAGUACAUGGAAGGACUUGGCUAGUAGGAUGGCAGAGUCUGGGUAUGCUCCUCAAGACGAUGAGCCCUAUUGCAAUGUACAAGUUGAUCCAUUGUCGUGCCACCACACCGAGCGGAUUGCUGUGUGCUAUGGACUUAUUUCCAUGCGUGCCCAUGAACCGAUACGGGUCUCGAAGAAUUUCCGAAUGUGCAAGGAAUGCCAUUCCUCAAUCAAGUUCAUCUCAAGGGAUAAGAAGCGGGAGAUACUGAUUUCAGAUGGUUGCACCUAUCACCACUUCAGCGAUGGCUCGUGCAGCUGUGGGGACAUGUGGUAG